rnacentral:rRNA from 1 species
UACAGAGGGGGCAAGCGUUGUUCGGAAUUACUGGGCGUAAAGAGUGCGUAGGCGGCCCGGCAAGUCCGCUGUGAAAGUCGGGGGCUCAACCCUCGAAUGCCGGUGGAUACUGUCGGGCUAGAGUGCGGAAGAGGCGAGUGGAAUUCCUGGUGUAGCGGUGAAAUGCGCAGAUAUCAAGAGGAACACCUGCGGCGAAGGCGGGUUGCUGGGCCGACACUGACGCUGAUAGCGCGAAAGCUAGGGGAGCGAACGGG